rnacentral:tRNA from 1 species
GGAGGGAUGGCUGAGCGGUUUAAGGCGACAGUCUUGAAAACUGUUGUGGGUUAACGCCUACCGUGGGUUCAAAUCCCACUCCCUCCG